rnacentral:rRNA from 1 species
AGUGAACGCUGGCGGUAGGCCUAACACAUGCAAGUCGAACGGCAGCACAGUAAGAGCUUGCUCUUACGGGUGGCGAGUGGCGGACGGGUGAGGAAUACAUCGGAAUCUACUUUUUCGUGGGGGAUAACGUAGGGAAACUUACGCUAAUACCGCAUACGACCUACGGGUGAAAGCAGGGGAUCUUCGGACCUUGCGCGAUUGAAUGAGCCGAUGUCGGAUUAACCAGUUGGCGGGGUAAAGGCCCACCAAGGCGACGAUCCGUAGCUGGUCUGAGAGGAUGAUCAGCCACACUGGAACUGAGACACGGUCCAGACUCCUACGGGAGGCAGCAGUGGGGAAUAUUGGACAAUGGGCGCAAGCCUGAUCCAGCCAUACCGCGUGGGUGAAGAAGGCCUUCGGGUUGUAAAGCCCUUUUGUUGGGAAAGAAAAGCAGCAGGUUAAUACCCCGCUGUUCUGACGGUACCCAAAGAAUAAGCACCGGCUAACUUCGUG